CCUACGGGUGGCAGCAGUGGGGAAUAUUGCGCAAUGGAGGAAACUCUGACGCAGUCACGCCGCGUGCGGGAAGAAGGUUUUCGGAUUGUAAACUGCUUUAGACAGGGGAGAAAAAAGACAGUACCGGUAGAAUAAGCGCCUGCUAACUACGUGCCAGCAGCCGCGGUAAGACGUAGGGAGCGAGCGUUAUCCGGAUUUAUUGGGUGUAAAGGGUGCGUAGAGGGGGAAGCAAGUUAGUUGUGAAAUCCCCCGGCUUAACUGAGGAACUGCAACUAAAACUACUUCCCUUGAGUACUGGAGAGGAAAGUGGAAUUCCUAGUGUAGCGGUGAAAUGCGUAGAUAUUAGGCGGAACACCAGUGGCGAAGGCGACUUUCUGGACAGUAACUGACGUUGAGGCACGAAAGUGUGGGGAGCAAACAGGAUUAGAUACCCUUGUAGUC
rnacentral:rRNA from 1 species